rnacentral:rRNA from 1 species
UACGUAGGGUGCGAGCGUUAAUCGGAAUUACUGGGCGUAAAGUGUGCGCAGGCGGCCUCGCAAGUCGAGUGUGAAAUCCCCGGGCUUAACUUGGGAAUUGCGCUCGAAACUACUUGGCUUGAGUGUGGCAGAGGGAGGUGGAAUUCCACGUGUAGCGGUGAAAUGCGUAGAGAUGUGGAGGAACACCGAUGGCGAAGGCAGCCUCCUGGGCCAACACU